GACGAACGCUGGCGGCGUGCUUAACACAUGCAAGUCGAACGAUGAAAGAGGAGCUUGCUCCUCUGGAUUAGUGGCGAACGGGUGAGUAACACGUGAGCAAUCUGCCCCUGACUCAGGAAUAACUACGGGAAACUGUAGCUAAUACCGGAUAUGCGCCGAACAGGCAUCUGUAUCGGUGGGAAAGAAUUUCGGUCAGGGAUGAGCUCGCGGCCUAUCAGCUUGUUGGUGAGGUAACGGCUCACCAAGGCGACGACGGGUAGCCGGCCUGAGAGGGUGACCGGCCACAUUGGGACUGAGACACGGCCCAGACUCCUACGGGAGGCAGCAGUGGGGAAUAUUGCACAAUGGGCGCAAGCCUGAUGCAGCAACGCCGCGUGAGGGAUGACGGCCUUCGGGUUGUAAACCUCUUUUAGCAGGGAAGAAGCGAAAGUGACGGUACCUGCAGAAAAAGCGCCGGCUAACUACGUG
rnacentral:rRNA from 1 species